rnacentral:tRNA from 1 species
GGCUCGGUAGCUUAGUUUAUAAAGGCGCUCGUCUAGCGUACAAGAGUCCUGGGUUCGAAUCCCAGCGGAGCAC